UUUUAACGAGAGUUUGAUCCUGGCUCAGGAUGAACGCUGGCGGCGUGCUUAACACAUGCAAGUCGAACGAAGCACUUGAAUGGAAUUCUUCGGAAGGAAGCUCGAGUGACUGAGUGGCGGACGGGUGAGUAACGCGUGGGUAACCUGCCUCAUACAGGGGGAU
rnacentral:rRNA from 1 species